GUUGAACGCUGGCGGCAUGCCUAAUACAUGCAAGUCGAGCGAACAGACGCGGCGCUUUCUCCUCUUACGUUAACGGCGGACGUGUUAGUAACACAUGGAUCCCCUACCUAUAAGACUGUGAUAGCUUCGGUAACCCGUAGCUCAUACCGUCUAAUAUAUUGAACCGCAUGGUUCAAUAGUUAACGCCGUUUUUGCUGUCCCUUUUAGAUUGGUCCGCGUCGGAUUAGCUAGUUGGUAAGGUAACGGCUUACCAAGGCAACGAUGCGUAGCCGACCUGAGAGGGUGAUCGGCCACACUGGAACUGAGACACGGUCCAGACUCCUACGGGAGGCAGCAGUAGGGAAUCUUCCGCAAUGGGCGAAAGCCUGACGGAGCAACGCCGCGUGAGGGAUGAAGGUCUUCGGAUCGUAAAACGCUGUUAUAAGGGAAGAAAAAAUGUGGAAGUAAACAUGCACGUAAUGACGGUACCGAAUCAGAAAGCCACGGCUAACUACGUG
rnacentral:rRNA from 1 species